UUAAGUUAAUAAGGGCGCACGGUGGAUGCCUUGGCACUAGAAGCCGAUGAAGGACGUGACUAACGACGAAAUGCUUUGGGGAGCUGUAAGUGAGCAAUGAUCCAGAGAUGUCCGAAUGGGGGAACCCGGCAGGUAAUACCUGUCACUCAUUACUGUUAAGGUAAUGUAGAGGAAGACGCAGUGAACUGAAACAUCUAAGUAGCUGCAGGAAGAGAAAGCAAAAGCGAUUGCCUUAGUAGCGGCGAGCGAAACGGCAAGAGGGCAAACCGAAGAGUUUACUCUUCGGGGUUGUAGGACUGCAACGUGGACUUAAAGAUUAUAGAAGAACUACCUGGGAAGGUAGGCCAAAGAGAGUAAUAGCCUCGUAUUCGAAAUAGUCUUUAUACCUAGCAGUAUCCUGAGUACGGCGAGACACGAGAAAUCUCGUCGGAAUCUGGGAGGACCAUCUCCCAACCCUAAAUACUCUCUAGUGACCGAUAGUGAACCAGUACCGUGAGGGAAAGGUGAAAAGCACCCCGGGAGGGGAGUGAAAUAGAACCUGAAACCGUGUGCCUACAACAAGUUCGAGCCCGUUAAUGGGUGAGAGCGUGCCUUUUGUAGAAUGAACCGGCGAGUUACGAUAUGAUGCGAGGUUAAGUUGAAGAGACGGAGCCGUAGGGAAACCGAGUCUUAAUAGGGCGCAUUAGUAUCAUGUCGUAGACCCGAAACCAUGUGACCUACCCAUGAGCAGGUUGAAGGUGAGGUAAAACUCACUGGAGGACCGAACCAGGGCACGUUGAAAAGUGCUUGGAUGACUUGUGGGUAGCGGAGAAAUUCCAAACGAACUUGGAGAUAGCUGGUUCUCUCCGAAAUAGCUUUAGGGCUAGCGUCGAUGUUAAGUCUCUUGGAGGUAGAGCACUGUUUGGGUGAGGGGUCCAUCCCGGAUUACCAAUCUCAGAUAAACUCCGAAUGCCAACGAGAUAUAAUCGGCAGUCAGACUGCGAGUGCUAAGAUCCGUAGUCGAAAGGGAAACAGCCCAGACCACCAGCUAAGGUCCCAAAAUAUAUGUUAAGUGGAAAAGGAUGUGGGGUUGCACAGACAACUAGGAUGUUAGCUUAGAAGCAGCUAUUCAUUCAAAGAGUGCGUAAUAGCUCACUAGUCGAGUGACCCUGCGCCGAAAAUGUACCGGGGCUAAAACAUAUUACCGAAGCUGUGGAUACCUUUAUAGGUAUGGUAGGAGAGCGUUCUAUGUGCGAAGAAGGUGUACCGUGAGGAGUGCUGGAGCGCAUAGAAGUGAGAAUGCCGGUAUGAGUAGCGAAAGACAGGUGAGAAUCCUGUCCACCGUAAGACUAAGGUUUCCAGGGGAAGGCUCGUCCGCCCUGGGUUAGUCGGGACCUAAGGAGAGACCGAAAGGUGUAUCCGAUGGACAACAGGUUGAUAUUCCUGUACUAGAGUAUAUAGUGAUGGAGGGACGCAGUAGGCUAACUAAACCAGACGAUUGGAAGUGUCUGGCCAAGCAGUGAGGUGUGAUAUGAGUCAAAUGCUUAUAUCUAUAACAUUGAGCUGUGAUGGGGAGCGAAGUUUAGUAGCGAAGUUAGUGAUGUCACACUGCCGAGAAAAGCUUCUAGCGUUAAUUAUACUCUACCCGUACCGCAAACCGACACAGGUAGUCGAGGCGAGUAGCCUCAGGUGAGCGAGAGAACUCUCGUUAAGGAACUCGGCAAAAUGGCCCCGUAACUUCGGGAGAAGGGGCGCUGACUUAUGGUCAGCCGCAGUGAAUAGGCCCAAGCAACUGUUUAUCAAAAACACAGCUCUCUGCUAAAUCGUAAGAUGAUGUAUAGGGGGUGACGCCUGCCCGGUGCUGGAAGGUUAAGAGGAGUGCUUAGCGUAAGCGAAGGUAUGAAUUGAAGCCCCAGUAAACGGCGGCCGUAACUAUAACGGUCCUAAGGUAGCGAAAUUCCUUGUCGGGUAAGUUCCGACCCGCACGAAAGGCGUAAUGAUUUG
rnacentral:rRNA from 1 species